AUAGUUUCCAGGUGUGACGCUCCGGUUGGGUAAAGUGGGCGGGGUAUAUAAGCGGCCGCUGUGCCCAGUCAGACAUGUGUCUUCCUCAUCAUCCACUGUGUGGCCCGCGUCUCUUGGGUUCCGGCGGAAGAAAAGGCAACAUAUCGCCAGUGUGGUGCAUGCUGUUUUGAUUCCCUGGUGGUGAAACGCUAUUGUGCUGCUCUCCUCUGCUUCCUCGUUCAGCGAGUGUGUGUGUGCGUUUUUGCCUGGAUUGACAGGUUUCCCCAUAUUCGAACCAUUGCUGCUCUUUUGGAUCCCGGAUUUUGCACGUCAUCAGUCAAACUUGGACUGUGGUGGCGCCUACACGCCUUAAUUGAAGCGGUGUUUGGGGUGUGGCAUCGGCGCGCCGAGCUCGCUCCCUGCAGUGGCGUGACUAGAGCCACACCGGAUCUUAAUAUUCAACUUGGAUUUUCUAUUUGUUUCUUUAUUUAGUUUCCAGCCCUUUUGGUUCCUUUAGAUAAUUGUUUAUUUAUUUGGGCUGAUAUUGUUUUUCUUUUGUUGUAUUAAGUAUAAGGUUGUUGUAUUUGGUUAACUGUUUUUCUGUUGUUUGCAGUUGCUGAGGCCCGGUGGCGGUGCUGGUGUGGUGACGGUGUCUCCCUCUUUUUUUGUGCCGUGAUUCCUGAGUUUGGGUUGUCUCACUGCGUCUGGUGCUUUUACGGUUUUUUUUGUUUGCUGUGUUUGGUGGAUGCCGUCCCUAUAGUGGCCCCUUCUGCCGGUGACCUCAGCUACUAUAGUUUUUUUUCUGUUUUUCCUUAGUUUUUUUGUUGUAAAGAACUGGUUUUAAAAAGAGUUUUAAAAGAAUUUAAUAAAUAGCUUUUUGUGUAUUUGCAAUUGCCUCAGAUGUUUUAAUUCAUGCAUAACCGAACCUGUGUGCUUUAAAAAAAAGAGGUAAUAUUCUCUGGGUGAAAUUCCCAGGGUGGCGCU